ACGUCGCCUUAAUUCUUGACACUUCCUUGACCAAAGUGUCCGCCCGAGAACUACGAGCACAAACGCUUAAAACUCUAAGGACUUGGCGGUGCCUCAAACCCACCUAGAGGAGCCUGUUCUAUAAUCGAUAACCCACGCUUCACCCGACCGCUCUUCGCAUACUCAGCCUACAUACCGCCGUUGUCAGUCCACCUAUCUUGAAAGAACAACAGUGAACUCAAUAGCCCUAACCACGCUAAAAAGACAGGUCAAGGUAUAGCCUAUAGAGCGGAAGAAAUGGGCUACAUUUUCUAACUUAGAAAACUACGAAAGGGGGCAUGAAAUUUCCCCCCAGAAGGAGGAUUUAGCAGUAAAGUUGGAUCAUAGUGCCAUCUUAAAUCUGGCCCCGGGGCACGUACAUACUGCCAGUCACCACCCUAGC
rnacentral:rRNA from 1 species